rnacentral:rRNA from 1 species
GAUGAACGCUGGCGGCGUGCCUAAUACAUGCAAGUCGAGCGAACGGACGAGAAGCUUGCUUCUCUGAUGUUAGCGGCGGACGGGUGAGUAACACGUGGAUAACCUACCUAUAAGACUGGGAUAACUUCGUGAAACCGGAGCUAAUACCGGAUGAUAUUUUGAACCGCAUGGUUCAAAAGUGAAAGACGGUCUUGCUGUCACUUAUAGAUGGAUCCGCGCUGCAUUAGCUAGUUGGUAAGGUAACGGCUUACCAAGGCAACGAUGCAUAGCCGACCUGAGAGGGUGAUCGGCCACACUGGAACUGAGACACGGUCCAGACUCCUAAGGGAGGCAGCAGUAGGGAAUCUUCCGCAAAGGGCGAAAGCCUGACGGAGCAACGCCGCGUGAGUGAUGAAGGUCUUCGGAUCGUAAAACUCUGCUAUUAGGGAAGAACAUAUGUGUAAGUAACUGUGCACAUCUUGACGGUACCUAAUCAGAAAGCCACGGCUAACUACGUG